UCCGUAGGUGAACCUGCGGAAGGAUCAUAA
rnacentral:rRNA from 5 species